UUCUCCUGUCACCAUGUCUGCUUCCUUUUAAUGCAUGGUGACAUGGAGGCAUAUAAGUCUACCUGAGGCAUGUUUACACAGUUGUGUUUGGAAGCAUGCCAUGUUGAACCAUUUCUGAAGCAUACCAAAAGGCCAGGUUAUAUGAGUUGUUGUUGGGAAGGAAGCAUGCCAUGUUAAACCAUUUCUGAAGCAUACCAAAAGGCCAGGUUAUACGAGUUGUUGUUGGGAAGGAAGCAUGCCAUGUUAAACCAUUUCUGAAGCAUACCAAAAGGCCAGGUUAUAUGAGUUGUUGUUUGGAAGCAUGCCAUGUUAAACCAUUUCUGAAGCAUACCAAAAGGCCAGGUUAUAUGAGUUGUUGUUUGGAAGCAUGCCAUGUUAAACCAUUUCUGAAGCAUACCAAAAGGCCAGGUUAUAUGAGUUGUUGUUUGGAAGCAUGCCAUGUUAAACCAUUUCUGAAGCAUACCAAAAGGCCAGGUUAUAUGAGUUGUUGUUUGGAAGCAUGCCAUGUUAAACCAUUUCUGAAGCAUACCAAAAGGCCAGGUUAUAUGAGUUGUUGUUUGGAAGCAUGCCAUGUUAAACCAUUUCUGAAGCAUACCAAAAGGCCAGGUUAUAUGAGUUGUUGUUUGGAAGCAUGCCAUGUUAAACCAUUUCUGAAGCAUACCAAAAGGCCAGGUUAUAUGAGUUGUUGUUUGGAAGCAUGCCAUGUUAAACCAUUUCUGAAGCAUACCAAAAGGCCAGGUUAUAUGAGUUGUUGUUUGGAAGCAUGCCAUGUUAAACCAUUUCUGAAGCAUACCAAAAGGCCAGGUUAUAUGAGUUGUUGUUUGGAAGCAUGCCAUGUUAAACCAUUUCUGAAGCAUACCAAAAGGCCAGGUUAUACGAGUUGUUGUU